rnacentral:lncRNA from 1 species
CGACACGACUGAGCGACUGAACUGAACUGAACUGAACUAACGUUAGUUAGCACAUGCAGCCAGGCACAAGUGGAAUCUGAUGUUUGAAAGUGUGGAAGAAUUAUCUGUCUCAGACAUGCAUGCACCCCGUUGUUCGUGGCUUUGGAUUGUAUGUGCUCUCAUCUUGUCUCUUCACUAAACUGUGAGUUUCCUGAGGGCAGGGUAUAGAUCAGAGUCUUUCCUGUCGGUCCCUCCCUCCCUCCUUGUGAAUGUCUAAAGUGAAAGUGAAGUCAGUCGUGUCUGACUCUUUGUGACCCCAUGGUCUGUAGCCUGCCAAACUCCUCCACCCAUGGGGUUUUCCAGGCAAGAAUACUGGAGUGGGUCACCAUUUCCUUCUCCAGGGCAGCUUCCCGACCCAGGGAUUGAACCCUGGUCUCCUGCACCACAGGCAGACUCUUUACUGUCGGAGCCACCAGAGAAUGUCUAGUGCAGUAACAAAUCCACACUAGAUAAUCAGUGUUAAUAGAUCUAUGGAGCCGGUAACAGACAAAAGUCAUCAGGUAGCUCCCAGAGCAAACUGUUCAACAUCAUGUUCUAGUGCCUGAAGAAUUUAGCGUUACUGACUGGAGAGGAAGAGGACGGGGAGGAAUAUAUUUUAGCUAUUAAUUCUAGCCUUUGUAUUUUUAGUCUUUUGAAGGAUGAAAAGGAAGAAAAAAAGUAAAAGCUCUGUUGACAGUUAAAAGCAGACAUCUGUUCUCUUUACCAAGACCCUCAGAGACCUGUCAGAGUGGACAAAGGCCUCUGGAGCCCUUCCCAAGAACCUUCUUGCUUGGAAGAUUAGCAGUUCUUCUCAAGCAUCGCUCUCAACUUGCUAAACACCUUGAAAUAGUUUCCAGCAAGACGUGUCUCCCUCAGAUCCCAGGGCAGGUAAGUGCUUGUGCGCGUCCAGCGCUUCUGCUCGUAGCCAUGUGUCCUGACCAUCUGGCACUUACUGUGUAUAUUACUUACAUACGUGUGCAUAUGUAGUGUGUAUGUGUGCUGUGCUUAGUUGCUCAGUCAUGUCUGACUCUCUGUGACCCCUUGUACUAUAGCCUGCCAGGCUCAUCUGUUCAUGGGGAUUCUUCAGGCCAGAAUACUGGAUUGGGUUGCCAUGCCUUCCUCCAGGGUGAUCUCCCCUACCCAGGGAUUGAACUCAGGUCUCCCACAUUGCAGGUGGAUUCUUCACCAUCUGAGCUCCAGGGAGUGAGUAUAUGUGUAUGUGCGUAUCUAUGUUUAUAUGUCUGUGGUUAAAAAAGUGUUGUUUCUAGAAUUUACCAUGACUACUGCUGUGUGUGUAUCCCCAGAAGUCAUAGGUUGAAAUCUUAACUGCAUAUUAAAUAUAUUUAUAAAAUGCAUGUAUUAUAGCGAAGGGCAGGGAAUCUGGUGUGCUACAGUCCAU